rnacentral:rRNA from 1 species
GAAUGGGGGGGUGCUAUACAUGCAAGUCGAGCGGACAGAUGGGAGCUUGCUCCCUGAUGUUAGCGGCGGACGGGUGAGUAACACGUGGGUAACCUGCCUGUAAGACUGGGAUAACUCCGGGAAACCGGGGCUAAUACCGGAUGGUUGUUUGAACCGCAUGGUUCAAACAUAAAAGGUGGCUUCGGCUACCACUUACAGAUGGACCCGCGGCGCAUUAGCUAGUUGGUGAGGUAACGGCUCACCAAGGCAACGAUGCGUAGCCGACCUGAGAGGGUGAUCGGCCACACUGGGACUGAGACACGGCCCAGACUCCUACGGGAGGCAGCAGUAGGGAAUCUUCCGCAAUGGACGAAAGUCUGACGGAGCAACGCCGCGUGAGUGAUGAAGGUUUUCGGAUCGUAAAGCUCUGUUGUUAGGGAAGAACAAGUACCGUUCGAAUAGGGCGGUACCUUGACGGUACCUAACCAGAAAGCCACGGCUAACUACGUGCCAGCAGCCGCGGUAAUACGUAGGUGGCAAGCGUUGUCCGGAAUUAUUGGGCGUAAAGGGCUCGCAGGCGGUUUCUUAAGUCUGAUGUGAAAGCCCCCGGCUCAACCGGGGAGGGUCAUUGGAAACUGGGGAACUUGAGUGCAGAAGAGGAGAGUGGAAUUCCACGUGUAGCGGUGAAAUGCGUAGAGAUGUGGAGGAACACCAGUGGCGAAGGCGACUCUCUGGUCUGUAACUGACGCUGAGGAGCGAAAGCGUGGGGAGCGAACAGGAUUAGAUACCCUGGUAGUCCACGCCGUAAACGAUGAGUGCUA